GGGCUCACACAAGCGGUGGAGGAUGUGGCUUAAUUCGAUGCAACGCGAAGAACCUUACCAGGGUUUGACAUCCUGCGAAUCUCUUGGAAACAGGAGAGUGCCUUCGGGAACGCAGUGACAGGUGGUGCAUGGCUGUCGUCAGCUCGUGUCGUGAGAUGUUGGUUAAGUCCCGCAACGAGCGCAACCCACGUCUUUAGUUGCCAGCAUUUAGUUGGGCACUCUAGAGAGACUGCCGGUGAUAAACCGGAGGAAGGUGUGGAUGACGUCAAGUCAUCAUGCCCCUUACAUCCUGGGCUACACACGUACUACAAUGCUACGGACAAAGGGCAGCAAGUUCGCGAGGAC
rnacentral:rRNA from 1 species